CUACGGCCACAUCAUGUUGAAGCAUCGGUUCCUGUACGAUCCCCAAAUUUAAGCAACAUAGAGCCUGGUCAGUACUUAGAUGGGUAACCGCUUAUCAAUAACAGGUGCUGUAAU